AGCGAACGCUGGCGGCAGGCUUAACACAUGCAAGUCGAACGCCCGGGCAACCGGGAGUGGCAGACGGGUGAGUAACGCGUGGGAACGUGCCCUUUGGUUCGGAAUAACUCAGGGAAACUUGAGCUAAUACCGGAUAAGCCCUUACGGGGAAAGAUUUAUCGCCGAAGGAUCGGCUCGCGUCCGAUUAGCUAGUUGGUAGGGUAAUGGCCUACCAAGGCGACGAUCGGUAGCUGGUCUGAGAGGAUGAUCAGCCACACUGAGACUGAGACACGGCCCAGACUCCUACGGGAGGCAGCAGUGGGGAAUAUUGGACAAUGGGGGCAACCCUGAUCCAGCCAUGCCGCGUGAGUGAUGAAGGCCCUAGGGUUGUAAAGCUCUUUCGGCGGGGACGAUAAUGACGGUACCCGCAGAAGAAGCCCCGGCUAACUUCGUGCCAGCCGCCGCCGUAACAC
rnacentral:rRNA from 1 species